CCUCUGUCUCUAUAAAAGCAGCUCCCCUCCUUUGUUUUCUGGAUUUGCCUAUGCUUUGCCAUAGCCUGCAGAUCGUGUGUUGCAUUUCUUUUGAGGAUUCCUGAAUAAACUCAUUUUGAGAUAAAAUAAUAGGCAAAUUUACUUUUAAGUUGACGCAGCUCUGGCAGAUUGAUUUUGAGUUAAAGCUAUUUGAAAAACAGCAAGAUGCCAAAUUGUGCUCUGACCUUAGUUUUUCUUCCUGAAAGUGGGAGAUAAAAUUCACAUGGGAAAGACGCCCUCGGUGUACCAGGAGAAAGAAACACUCUUACCACCAGAGACAUGCUCAAGCCCGAGAGAAAUCUGUAUAAACAGACCUUGUUAAAACAACUCUUCCUUUAAUCUCUCCAUAUAUUUUGGUUACUUUUCCACACUUACCACUCUCUGUUCAGCCUAGUAAAUCAGCACUUAGGCCUAAUCACUAAUUUGGGUCUUCAUUUUUCGUGUAAGAGCCGUCCUGUACGUGUAAAUAGCAUUUGUGUGCUUUUCUCCUGUCAACCUGUCUGGUGUCGAUCUUGUCUGGAGACCGUAGGAAGACGGAGGAAACCUUCACCUCCCCUCCAGUUUCUGGUCUGAGGAUGGCAGAGCCUUGGCUGAGAUGCUGUUGGCUCCGGGGUCUGCAGCUGAGAGAUCUUGGGACCUGAGUAAUCCGGCAGAAGGUAAGAGUUCCUAGCUCGUCCGUCUCUGGGAUGUCUGUCUGUAGUGCCCAGUCGAGAGAGGGUGGUAAAAACUUCUCCUUGUCCUUUUCUUUCCUGGUUCAGAUUGGCAAGAGAAAAGCAUUUGUAAGGAUUAGUUCUCUGGAUUGUGGCUCCUGUUCAGUUGGUUUUAGGGCCCCCUUGUUGAUCCUUCCCUCCCAGGGGCUGCUACUGCUUUCCUGUGUGUCUCCUUCUGUGUGCUGAGAGCGAGGCUGGGCCUUCUGCCCACAGGGUGGUGGGCCUCCAUGUGCAGGUGACCAACUGUUCAGCCCCCCGGUGCAUAGUUGUAUAUUCUUAGUUCUGGAUCCUUCUAGCUGUGGCAUGUUGGACCCUGCGUCAGCAUGGCCUGACCAGCAGUGCCAUGUCCGCGCCCAGGAUUCGAACCAGCAAAACCCUGGGCCUCAGAAGCGAAGCACGCGAACUUAACCGCUCGGCCACAGGGCCAGCCCCUCUUUUUUUCUUAACUAAUGGAUUUUGUAUUUCCAUACCUGUAUCAUGGCUAAAAUUUAAAAAUAAAAGCCAUAAGAUCUCUGUUGGCAUCUGUCUCUAUGUUUUUGUGUGUCUAUAUAUGUAUGUUAUAUGUAUGUAAUAUUUUUCUACCUCCAAGAAGUAUUACUAAAAACUAGCUUGUG
rnacentral:lncRNA from 1 species